GACGAACGCUGGCGGCGUGCCUAAUACAUGCAAGUCGAGCGCAGGAAAUCGACGGAACCCUUCGGGGGGAAGUCGAUGGAAUGAGCGGCGGACGGGUGAGUAACACGUAAAGAACCUGCCCUCAGGUCUGGGAUAACCACGAGAAAUCGGGGCUAAUACCGGAUGGGUCAUCGGACCGCAUGGUCCGAGGAUGAAAGGCGCUUCGGCGUCGCCUGGGGAUGGCUUUGCGGUGCAUUAGCUAGUUGGUGGGGUAAUGGCCCACCAAGGCGACGAUGCAUAGCCGACCUGAGAGGGUGAUCGGCCACACUGGGACUGAGACACGGCCCAGACUCCUACGGGAGGCAGCAGUAGGGAAUCUUCCACAAUGGACGAAAGUCUGAUGGAGCAACGCCGCGUGAACGAUGAAGGCCUUCGGGUCGUAAAGUUCUGUUGUAAGGGGAGAACAAGUGCCGCAGGCAAUGGCGGCACCUUGACGGUACCUUGCGAGAAAGCCACGGCUAACUACGUGCCAGCCGCCGCGGUAACAC
rnacentral:rRNA from 1 species